CCUACGGGUGGCAGCAGUGAGGAAUAUUGCUCAAUGGGGGAAACCCUGAACCAGCAACGCCGCGUGAGGGAUGACGGUUUUCGGAUUGUAAACCUCUUUUCUUAGUGAAGAUAAUGACGGUAGCUAACGAGGAAGCACCGGCUAACUCCGUGCCAGCAGCCGCGGUAAUACGGAGGGGGCGAGCGUUAUCCGGAUUCACUGGGUGUAAAGGGUGCGUAGGCGGGUUAGCAAGUCAGAAGUGAAAUCCAUGGGCUGAACCGAUGAACUGCAUUUGAAACUGUUAGUCUAGAGUGAAGUAGAGGUAGGCGGAAUUCUUGGUGUAGCGGUGAAAUGCGUAGAGAUCGGGAGGAACACCAGUGGCGAAGGCGGCCUGCUGGGCCUUAACUGACGCUGAUGCACGAAAGCGUGGGGAGCAAACAGGAUUAGAUACCCCUGUAGUC
rnacentral:rRNA from 1 species